GGGCGUGACAGCUUUGGUGUGGAUGACACGACACAUGUAUUUGUUGUGCUUGUUGAUUCUUUACGAGCUUGAUGAAAAAAUGUUUGAGCAUCUUAGGGUGUGUGUAUGUAAAAGGUCUUCUUUGUCUUAAAUUCUCAUAUUUAUAGGCCUCUCCAUAUCUUGAUUGAGGCUUCAUUUGGUCUUAAUUUUGGACUUGAUUAAAUGACGACAGAAUCAAGACUUGAUUUGGAAUUGAUUCAUGGAGAAAAGAACCAAGACUUAUUUGUGAUUUUGAUUUCAUCAAAUAAUCUUUGAUUUAAUCAAAUAAAUCAAUCAACUUUCAUCUUUAAUUUAGCUAAUCUCCCCAACUUGACAUUCAUUUCAUUUGUUGAUUAUUUUCUUUAAUUUAAAUCAAGGUUAAUUAAAGAUCAUUCCAUAAUUAUAUUUCGCCUAAUGUCGAUGUGUGCCACUCUUGGUGACUCAUCAGGUUUUGAUAAGUCACAUGCCACGUGUGCAACGUGAAACUGAUACUCACCACGUAAGUCCUGACAAGUCAAAAUUUAAAACCUUAAUUUGGUGGUGAAUAUUUGUUUCACUGAAAUUUUGAUAUCUAUACAAUAUUAUUAUUCUAAGGUAAUCUACGAGUUUGGCUCUAAGAUGUAGUAAGUUAAGCCAUUCAAUACUACGGCCUAAUAAUAUUCAUCUUCACUUGUCAAUGAGAAUUUC
rnacentral:lncRNA from 1 species